rnacentral:rRNA from 1 species
GACGAACGCUGGCGGCGCGCUUAACACAUGCAAGUCGAGCGAAGCGGCGGCCGGGUGAGUAACACGUGAGUAACCUGCCUUAGACAUUGGGCUAGCCUCGGGAAACCGGGCUUAAUACCAAAUGGUCUAAGAUGGACUCGCGUCCCAUUAGCUAGUUGGUGCGGUAACGGCCCACCAAGGCGACGAUGGGUAGCCGGCCUGAGAGGGUGAACGGCCACAUUGGAACGGAGAAACGGGCCAAACUCUACGGGAGGCAGCAUGUGGGAAUAUGGCACAAUGUCGGGAACUCUGAUGCAGCGACGCCCCGUGAACUAAGAAGGCUUUCGAGUCGUAAAGUUCUUUUAUAUGGGAAGCGGUACCAUAAGAAAAAGCCCCGGAUAACUACGGGCCAGCAGCCGCGGUAAUAC